rnacentral:misc_RNA from 1 species
UGCGGCUGGAUCCCCUCCUUUCUAAAGGAACCGACGAUCGUCGCGCUUCUCACGCCGACACAAGGUCGUCAACCCUCCACGGUACUUCCUCUCUCCCCUCCCGCGCUGACACGCCUAUCUAGUUUUGAAACAUCGAUCGAUCGAAGAUCGGCGGAAAUUACUUCGGUAAUUCCCUGCUCGCCCCGAAUAUUUUCGAGUAUUCACUGAUUGGGCGCCUGGUCACGAAAGAAAGGGUUUCCCUUCACCAGUGAUCCUCGAUGGUCGAUGUUUUGAUUUUCAUUUCCGGAAAUUGAAUUUCCGGGGCUCUUUGACAGUUGAAUAGGAAGUCUUUUUGAUCUAGGCACGAGUUGUCAUUCGGCGUCGCGAGACGCGCGGGUGGCAGUAAGUGAACAAGUGUCGUUGUCAGUAGAAGAAGUAAGGUUGAGUCGUUUUGCCGAUGGGCAAACGAUUUGGCAAGCUACGAAGGGCACAUGGUGGAUGCCUAGGCGCGUGUAGGCGAGGAAGGGCGUGGUAAGCUGCGAUAAGCGACGGGGAGGAGCACACAUCCCGUGAUCCGUCGAUGCCCGAAUGGGGAAACCCGG